ACUCCUACGGGAGGCAGCAGUGGGGAAUUUUCCGCAAUGGGCGAAAGCCUGACGGAGCAAUACCGCGUGAGGGAAGAAGGCUCUAGGGUUGUAAACCUCUUUUCUCAGGGAAGAAAAAAAUGACGGUACCUGAGGAAUAAGCAUCGGCUAACUCCGUGCCAGCAGCCGCGGUAAUACGGAGGAUGCAAGCGUUAUCCGGAAUGAUUGGGCGUAAAGCGUCCGCAGGUGGCAAUUCAAGUCUGCUGUCAAAGCUCAGGGCUCAACCCUGAAAAGGCAGUGGAAACUGAACAGCUAGAGUGCGGUAGGGGCAGAGGGAAUUCCCAGUGGAGCGGUGAAAUGCGUAGAGAUUGGGAAGAACACCAGUGGCGAAAGCGCUCUGCUAGGCCGCAACUGACACUAAUGGACGAAAGCUAGGGGAGCGAAUGGGAUUAGAUACCCCAGUAGUCCC
rnacentral:rRNA from 1 species